GUCUCUUCGGGAACAUCCGAUAAAAUUGGAAUGACACAAAGAAGAUUAGCCUGAUCCCUGCGCAAGGAUGAUAUACACAAAUCGAGAAAUGGUCCAAAUAAUU
rnacentral:snRNA from 1 species